GGAUUAGAUACCCUGGUAGUCCACGCCCUAAACGAUGCACACUAGUUGUUGCUAUGCUAGACAUAGCAGUAAUGCAGUUAACACAUUAAGUGUGCCGCCUGGGGAGUACGGUCGCAAGAUUAAAACUCAAAGGAAUAGACGGGGACCCGCACAAGCGGUGGAGCAUGUGGUUUAAUUCGACAUACGCGAAGAACCUUACCUGGCCUUGACAUAGUAAGAACUUAGUAGAGAUACUUUGGUGCUAGCUUGCUAGAACUUAUAUACAGGUGCUGCACGGCUGUCGUCAGCUCGUGUCG
rnacentral:rRNA from 1 species